GGUUCCAUGGUGUAGUGGUUAGCACUCUGCACUUUGAGAACAGUGACCUGGGUUUGACUCUUGGUGGGACCU
rfam:Ipomoea nil DNA, scaffold: scaffold2701, cultivar: Tokyo-kokei standard.